GACGAACGCUGGCGGCGUGCUUAACACAUGCAAGUCGAACGGAAAGGCCCUGCUUUUGUGGGGUGCUCGAGUGGCGAACGGGUGAGUAACACGUGAGUAACCUGCCCUUGACUUUGGGAUAACUUCAGGAAACUGGGGCUAAUACCGGAUAGGAGCUCCUGCUGCAUGUUGGGGGUUGGAAAGUUUCGGCGGUUGGGGAUGGACUCGCGGCUUAUCAGCUUGUUGGUGGGGUAGUGGCUUACCAAGGCUUUGACGGGUAGCCGGCCUGAGAGGGUGACCGGCCACAUUGUGACUGAGAUACGGCCCAGACUCCUACGGGAGGCAGCAGUGGGGAAUAUUGCACAAUGGGCGGAAGCCUGAUGCAGCAACGCCGCGUGCGGGAUGACGGCCUUCGGGUUGUAAACCGCUUUCGCCUGUGACGAAGCGUGAGUGACGGUAAUGGGUAAAGAAGCACCGGCUAACUACGUG
rnacentral:rRNA from 1 species